CCUACGGGUGGCAGCAGUGGGGAAUAUUGGGCAAUGGGCGCACGCCUGACCCAGCAACGCCGCGUGAAGGAUGAAGGCUUUCGGGUUGUAAACUUCUUUUGUUAGGGACGUAGCAUGUGUCGGUACCUGACGAAUAAGCCACGGCUAACUACGUGCCAGCAGCCGCGGCUAUACGUAGGUGGCAAGCGUUAUCCGGAUGUACUGGGUGUAAAGGGCGUGUAGGCGGGACUGCAAGUCAGAUGUGAAAACCACGGGCUCAACCUGUGACCUGGAUUUGAAACUGUAGUUCUUGAGUACUGGAGAGGCAGACGGAAUUCCUAGUGUAGCGGUGAAAUGCGUAGAUAUUAGGAGGAACACCAGUGGCGAAGGCGGUCUGCUGGACAGCAACUGACGCUGAGGCGCGAAAGCGUGGGGAGCAAACAGGAUUAGAUACCCCGGUAGUC
rnacentral:rRNA from 1 species